GAAAAAACUGGCAAAAUGAGCUCUAUCCUGUAGACUCUUCCUCUCUGUCUCUCCUCAUAGGGAAGAUUAACCAAAGGAAAGGGAGACGGCAAGCCAGCCUGUGUCGCAGCAGCUGGUGACCUGGAUUCCUGCCCCUCUUCUGGACCAAGUGGCUGUGCCAGUGUGGGCAUGGGGCCCAAGGCUGCCGGCCUCCCAGGCAUUCACAUUCCACUCCCAGGAACCCACAGCCUCUAGUGCUGCAGAGCUCCUGCCAGCCUGAUUGGAGCAGCUUAUGACAUGACAGUGGCCAGAAUGACACAGACCUCAGUCCCAUAACCGUCCCUCUAGGGAAGAGGAUGGGGCAUGAAAGACCAGUGGAAGAAAUGGGAAUUCCUCAGGCUGAGGGAAUAAAAGGUCAUACUGUUAACUGCUCACUCUGCUGCCUCAAGGCUGGACUUUCAGACAUCCUACUUCUCAGCCCGGGAUUCUCUGUGCUGGACUCCACUUCUCACAUCUCCAGGCCCUUUUGGGUGGUUGAUGAAGGACCUGGAAGCUGAUUUCCUAAGAGUGAAUAACUUGGUGCCCUGAAGCUGACCCCUCAUCCGCUAUAAACUGUCGAUGCUGGGCUGGUAUAGUGCCUUUGGAAAGCAGUAAAGCAAUUACCAGCAAAAGGCAUGAAGCUCUUCCUCCCCCUUUGACCCAAUAAUCUCUUUUCCUGGGAAAUUAUUCCUAGGAAAUUAUCCAAAUGAAGCCAAGUGUUAUCUGCAUACAUGUGUGCAUUGAAGUCUUUCUUUAAAGGUCAAAAACUGGGAACCACAAUAAGGAAGUGGUUUAAUAAACUGGGACAUCAACACAAUGGACAAUCAGGCCUGGAAAUCCACAGCUGUGUGACUGUAAUGGGGAAUGGGAACAUGGAGAAUGCUUCUACUACACAGUGUAUCACCACUACACUCCCACCUAAAUAGCUAAUUCAACAAAUCACGCUUGUCAAGGAGAGAGAAGUCUCUCUGUUCAUGUUCAAAAUAAACUCAGCCUCUGACACCCCAAAGGAACAGAAGAGAAGCUUGAAUGCAACAAACACAAUAAGCUCAAUAAUUCUUGGCUUUUGAGUUUCCAAGGCCCCAGGUCCUGAUGAUGUAAUGACAUUUUCUGAGAGUGAUUUUGAUGAUUGGUUAUUGAUGAUUUUCACCUUUCACACUGUACUUGUUAUUAAGCCAUCUAAUUCAUCAUAUUAAAUUUUGUUAAGAUACCUGGUGUGGUUUCUGUUUUCUGGCCAGACUCUGAUACAUACACAGACCAUGGACCCUGAUGAAUGAUAUCUCCCCCGUAAUGAUAAGUGAUUUUUUAAGACUUCAAAAUUAGUGCACCCACCAUGAUUUCAACUUAUACAAAUGUAUACUU